GACAGAGGGUGCAAACGUUGUUCGGAAUUACUGGGCGUAAAGCGCGUGUAGGCGGCCCAGCAAGUCGGAUGUGAAAGCCCUGGGCUUAACCUAGGAAGUGCAUUCGAAACUGCUGGGCUUGAGUUCUGGAGAGGAAGGCGGAAUUCUCGGUGUAGAGGUGAAAUUCGUAGAUAUCGGAAGGAAACAUCAGUGGCGAAAGCGACUUCCUGGACCAGUACCGACGUUCAGGCACGAAAGCGUGGGGAGCAAACAGG
rnacentral:rRNA from 1 species